rnacentral:lncRNA from 1 species
AUAUUGGCUCGGCAUUGUCAAUUUUAGACUUUUGAGUGCUCGUGGUUGGAUUAGCAGCGAAAAUAAACCAGGUGUGUACUCCGAUUAUGUAAAAAACGAGUUUCAAUGAAAGGCGAAAAAUGACCUAUCGACGCCACACGAGCGUGUGGGAAUCUGGGCCAAGCCGUGUGAUCGACACGAACAAGGCCAAAUUGGGCCGUAUGACCCACACGGGCGUGUAGGCCCACACGGGCAAGGUACACAGGCGUAUAAACCCCUUUAAUUUGAAAUGUUCUGUAAGGUUGCACGGGUCGCCCAAGUCGACUGUGACCUAUAGUAGGAUCGAUAAGCCUUAUCUAGACUCUUAGUUCUGUGUUGUAUGUGUUUGCAUAAUAUACUUAGCAUGAUUAUUUAAUCUAUUUUGUAAAUAAAUGUUUGAUCUGGUUGUUUGCAUUACAGCAUGCCAUAUUUGUAUGAUGCACUGCAUCGAGGUGGGUCUGAAAAAGUAAAGAGAGUAUUUGAAGGGUUUCAUAAACCCGUUAUCUGGCAGCUAAGCUGCAUACGUAUGAUAUGUGCUGCGAUGGGUACCUUAUGGUGUGUAGGGUUGGAUGGGUCGAUUAUAUCCCCAUUUAUGGUGUGCAGGGAUGGGUGGGUCGAUUUUAUCCCAGCUUGGUGUAAUGAGUUGAACGAAGAUGGUGUGCAGGGUUGGUGGGCAUGAUAUUUCUGAUAUCUAAUCUGUUAUGCAUAUGAUAUCUGUAUGGCUAAGGCCGAAAUAUCUGUAUUCUGUUGUUUGUUUGUAUGCAUGCUGUAAUAGGCCCAUUUCGCCCGGGCCCAUAAUGUUAUCUAAAAACAAAAGCAAAAUCAAUUAAUUAAAAAGUCCAAGUUUUUUACAAAAAUAAAAGCCCAAAGCAAGAUCCCUAACCCAAAGGCCCAAACACCCAAAAAAAUCUCAGCAGCACUGGAAGCUUCUGGAACGUGCCAGAAUAGGCCAGAGAGCUAGGGCUCCCACGAGUGGUUCUUCACAUGGCCUCCUUCGCACGUCUCUCCGCUCCGCUGUACAACCGAGCCUGCAAAAGAACACACCAGAAAGACUCAAUAACAGAAUUCAUAGCAGAUGACAACAGGAAAAUAGGAUUUUUUUUAUAUAUUUUUAUUUAUCUUGUAAAUCUGGCUAUAAAAGCCAUUGAUGUACCUGCAAAUAAAAAAAAUUACGCACACAGAAUAUACUCUACGCAUACAAUAUCUGUACACACGCACAGAGAAGAGAGAAAAGCGCUUUAAGAUCAAUAGAGGUGAUUUCAUUUUUUCUCUUCCGAUUUUUUCCGUUUUUUCUUUUCUCUUUAUUUUCUUAUUUGUUUGCUCAUUUUUUAUGCAACUUAAGGCCGAUGAAAGCCCUAAAUCUGCCAUGCGAGUAUAAGGGCGAGAGGUCACAUAAUAGUGGAAAUCUAUUCAUUUUACAAAUCUGUUUUUAUUUUUUUUCUUUAAAAAAUAACAUGAGAUUUGAAAGCUUCAUUCAAAUAAAGAAGAAAGAAAGGAAAAUACUUACCGAAUCCUUUUAGAUCUGGUCGAGCUCCUUUAACGGCAAGAUUGGGCACGUCUCACUUAUGGGUAAUCACCUAAAAUCAUGGUGGUUUGGCAGUCAAGUGAAGGAAACCCUAAAAAAUUUGAUUUUAAUGGCUGGAAUUUCUUUUGAUCUAAAAUGGGGCUACGUUUGGGGAAAGGAAAUAGAAGAAAAGGGGUCUUAAAUGACCAUUUAAUAAAAUGGCACAGUUUUAUGGAGUAAGGUCCACGCGGUGACUCAUUUGGCAGGCCCAAUCUGCGCAUUACCACUCAAAAAUGGGGAAUUUGCGCAACAAAUCCUUCCCCUUGCGCACAACCUUCAAUUUGCGCCCAAUUUGCCUACCUUGUGUUUUAAAAUUUGGCCUACUAAUUUGUGCUUUGUUUCACUUUGAUCCGCGAUUCCUUGCAGCAUUGUAGGCGCGAGAUAUUUACAAAUUCAGUCCCCAUACAUUUAUGCGCUUUGAGCAUUGGUCCAUGUUAUGAUUACUUUAUUUGCAAAUUAUCCUCCCUAUUUUAUUGCAGUAUUAAUUUGGUCUUAUAAUUGUACAAUUGGUUAAUUUAAAAUAUAUUUAAUAUGUUUAUGCAUUAAUCCAUGUUAAUAAUUUUGUUUGUUACAU